rnacentral:lncRNA from 1 species
UUAUUUUUUCGGGGUGUUUUUAUUUUGGAAUUUGGGUUGAUAUAGGUUGGACCGGUUUGGGGUGUCGAGGCCCAAACCCACUCUUUUUUUUUCCUCCCGAUUUUCUCUCCUCACCCCUCCCGCAGCCGAGCCUCCCGCUGCCCGGUUUUCCGGCCGUCCUCCCGCCGCCGUCCGGCCACCAACCGCCGCCGCACCGGUCCCGUUCGGUCGACCUCCAACCCAGCAACCUCCCUGGACCGGUGAGAGGAGCCCUAGCUCCGCCGUGAGAGAGCGGUGCCACCCGAAAGGUCCGACUGUCCAAAGCGUCACUUCGCCGGAACUUCCUCCUCCGGCCACCAAUCCGGGCAAGUUUGGUACGGUUUUGUAGCCCUCCUCCCGUGCAACAACCCCUCCAAGCAGCUCCCUCCCUCUUGAGCUAGGUAAGUCGUAUUUUGGAGAGGUUGUAUUUACGACUGUUGAGUAUGAUAUUUAAGUUCGGAUCGUUCCGAUGUAAGAAUAUCGAAGUUAGGCAAUGAUGAGCGUAAUUAUGGCUCUCGGGUAAUUUUGCCUAUUUUGAUUAAAUAUUGGAUUAUUUGGUUGGGAAUUAAUAUUAUAUUUGGAACAGGACGUGAGGAGGCUCGAGCAGACGAGACCCCAGAUCGACAUCAGGCUUAGGCCUAAUUUGUGAGUGGACUUUUAUUUGAAAUAAUAUGCAUGCUAUGGUUCAUGAUUGAACGUUUCCUUUUGUUGGAGUUUUUGACGUCAAUUAAUUUUGACGCUUUUAUUUCUCUUAGAGAGUUACCGAAAAUGGGAUUUUCGGUGAAUAUAAAUAUGUAAUUAUGAGAGAGUAUGUAUAGGAAAUGCUAGCUAGCCAUAUGUGUCUGGCUACCUUAAUGGCGUAGCAUAUAGCCGCAUUAUGGUGUGACGUGAGCGUUGGACGUAAGCGUAGUAGCCCUAUUUGAGUGUUUAAUUCAGAUAGGGGGUAUGGACACAUAUUUAUACACCCGUCUGUCCACCUUGAUGGCGUAGUGUAGCACCGCAUUAAGGCGUGACGUGAGCGUUGGACGCGAGCGUAGUAGCCCUAUAUAGAC